AUACUCUGGUUUCUCUUCAAAUCGCAUAAAUCUUUCGCCUUUUACUAAAGAUUUCCGUGGAAAGGCAUGAUCCUAUAUAUAUGAAAUUCAAGAAAGGGGAAAUCUAAAGUGUCCAA